ensembl:lncRNA
CUGCUGGUAAAAGGAAUGCACAGAAGAGAUCAAUUUAUUUUAGCUGCAUGCACAGCACCAGUAAGACUGCAGGGAGACCUGUGUGGCAAUGUGCUACUUGGGUGCUCAUGUCCCAGAGAAGAGGAGGAGGCCUUCAGUAUGGACUCCUAAACUUCUCUCCUCAUGUUAUACAGAACCUUCAAGGUACUUUCUUCAUCUGGAGAAACACAGGACAAGACAAACCACCAUUUACCAAGAGCCCAGUCCCCAGCUGAAUGCUCACUACUAAGUAUUUAGGCCUAAUUUCUAGAAUUUCUGAUUUCAUCUGGCAUCAUAUAAACUCACUUUCCUUGUUUUUGAAAGUACUUUGACUCCCCUCAACCUCAUCAUCUGCAUUUCACUAUUACUACAGCAUGGGGAAAUCAAGAUUAC